UUUACAGUGAAUUGUGUGGAAAUUAAAACGUGGCAGCAGUGCGAACAGAACAAGUUACCAGCUAGUCGCCAGCGAGGGUGACCCAACAUUGCCCGCGCACUGGAUAAUGGUGAGGAAGGUGUGGCCAAUCAGGUACGGGAUCCUGCUGGAGCAGCGAGUGACGGCCUCAGAGAUUGACGCCCAGAAGAAUGAACCUGUGUACCCAUAACCCGUGACGAACUGCCUUGUGCAGUCAUAUCGGGCAAGUCUACAGCUCCUGAUGGGGUCACUCAUGAUGUUAUCAAUGCCUUACUAGUCAUAAAAGAUAACCUAUCUUAGGUUUGUUUAACAUGUCUUACAACUCACAAAGCCUAGCUACCAUCUGCCUGGAAAAAUGCUGCGAUCAUUUCCAUUCCUAACGGUGACGGUAACUUUGGACCUAUUUCCUUAACUAGCUGUCUGUGUAAGAUGAUGGAAAGGAUAUACUACUUAGGCGCUUGACUGUAUAAGUGGGAGAUACCACGUCACGGAGUCUGUAUGGCUUUAUGAAGGGACUGGUGACUGCUUGAUUCAUCAGUGCUUAAGUUCUGCAGGUGCUGUUUGUCGUGCUUUCAUUGACCCAAUAAAGAGGUUAUAUUGGAACAACUUAUUUUAAAGGGCGUUAAAGGGAAAUUACUGGGGUGGCUCAAAGACUAUUUGCAUGAUAGGAUACGUGGCUCCAUGCUCUGCUGAAGGGAGUGUUGAAUUGGGCACUCCACAGGGAGGGGUCCUGAGUCCUUUGCUCUUUAAUAGUCUCAUGGACAAAAUUGCACAGUACCCCGGCCUUUCCUCAGGGCACACAAGUUUUUAUAUAUGCUGAAGAUAUACUUCUUCAGUGUAAUGCUCCACGGACGCUUACCUCAGCCCUCCACCAGCUUGAAGACUUGUGCACUUCUAUGGGUCUAGUUGUUAAUUAAUCCAAAACUAAAUUUCACUCCUCCACCUCCUUGCACCCACUUAUAAUCCACCUUUCCUCUAUCCAUCCACACUAUCCACAUCUUCCUAUCCUUAUCCGUUCUCCUGCUAUCCAUGUGUUUAUCCAGGACUAUGCCUAUCAUCUUCCAUCGUUCUUGGGGGUCAGAAUAGAUGGAGUGUGUUGGGCUCCACGUAUCAAUGAUGUCAAACUCGAUCGUGUCCACUGUUACAAACACUUGGGUGUCUAUCUUAGCUUUAAUAAAUUGAGUUAAUCACGUUGCCAUAUUGCUGCCAUAAUUCAUACACAGAAUCUGCCAUAAUUUUAACAUUGCGGUACAACAAUUUGGUCCGGCUGGCGUCAUCAUGCCCAAAAGAAGAAGAAGAAGAAGAGUAGGUCCACGGGCCGGCCUGCGUAGCGCCAUAAACCUUACUUUUUCUCGUGUUUUCCUUCAAACUACAAUGACGAGAAGAUCCACAGCCUGUGAGAAGAAGGUGGAGAGGACAGUGGCGGCCAGGGAAAGGAAGGAACACCGCAGAGAAGCCUUCAUGUGACGAAAGUGCCCUUCCACUACGCCACCACCACAACCACUACCACAACCACAACCAGUACCACCACAACCACCACCACUACCACCACAACCACCACCACCAAAUCACCACACUAAGCGUGAAGAUGUCAGGUCGCAACGCGUUGGUCCAUCGGAGCACCUUCCAGAACGCCAACCAGGUGGUGGAGUUGACCACACGCACCAUUCCCAAGGCUCAACACCACCACCAACACCAUCAGCGAGGACAUCAACACCAUUCACCACCACCAUUGAGGCCAGAUCACACCAACACCAGGAUUGGCUACAGUGAAGGUCGUGGCAGAGAGUGUACUCAAACUCCUACUGUGAGCUACUCCUGAUGCCUGCGCCCUCACCACCCCUGUGAAGGACGCCCAGCUGACCCAACCCUCCACGGUGGAGCGAUCGAGGGAAGUCAACACCUCUGUCCCUCCUUGGCUGGCGGUGGGCAAGACCAAGAGUUCCCUUCACAAGCCUGGCCUGAGGAACAUUGCCUUGGUAUAUGGGGUGACCUUCCUCGUGACCCAGUAUGACCUGACACGGCGGACACUAUAGUGUGUGUUGAUGCUGGGACCAAGAAGAAGAAGAAGAGGAGAAAAAGGAGGAAGAUGAUGAUAAAGGCAACAGGAAGAUCAGAAGAAGAAGAAGAGGAGGAGGAGGAAGAAUGGAAGAACACACACACACACACACACACACACACA